AAAUGGGGCUACGGUGUGCAACGACCAGUGGUGGCCCUCCCAGCUGCAGUUGUUCAAGAGAUAUCCAGUUUGCAGCAGAACAUGCAAUAUUGAGAAGACCCUCAGCAUCAGGCAGACAUGCCCUCACUGUGAGCACUCCUAUGAAUGGCACAGGGAGGACACUUGAAUCAGUAUCUUUGAUUGGCCAGGAGCUGAUCUACGCUGAUAUGACCAUCAAUGGGACGCUGGCAAAGACCUUACCUCCAGCCUCACCUCUUGCCUGCUCACCAACGGUCGUCAAUGGAGAGAACAGACUUAGAUGAGUCUAUGGAGCCAGGACAUGGAGACUUGUAAGAUGAUGUCCUGACCAGCAGACAGGCUUGAUAUUGAUGUCUUUAAAUGGAGAGAGACCUGGCACUCAACAUAACAUUUUUACUAGACACAUCUUUCACUUGUAUUGUCUUUUUAAAAUGAUUUAAUUGAAUGGUAUCAGUCAAUAUGGGGAAGAAGAAACCCUGUGUAUUCUGGACAAGGAUCAGGGAAGUCCUGUUGUAUACGAGACACCACACAGGAAGGUAUGUCCACUCUGACAUGUUUGCCAAAGUAGCCCCAUUACCACCAAAGAAUAUGCAGAUGGACACAAUAUCUGCAGUACUAGUCAAAAGUUUUGACACACCUACUAAUUCAAGUGUUUUUCUUUAUUUUUAGUAUUUUCUACAUUGUAGAAUAGUAGUGAAGAUGUCAAAACUAUGAAAUAACACGUAUGGAAUCAUGUAGUAAACAAAAAAGUGUUAAACAAAUCCAAAUAUAUUUUAGAUUCUUAAAAUAUAGCCGCCCUUCGCAUUGAUGACAGCUUUGCACACUCUUGGCAUUCUCUCAAGCAGCUUCACCUGGAAUCUUUCCCAAAAGUCUUUAAGGAGUUCCCACGUAUGCUAAGCACUUGUUGACUGGUCUAAUGUCCAUUGCUCGUGUUUCUUAGCCUAAGCAAGUUUCUUCUUAUUGGAGUCCUUUAGUAGUGGUUACUUUGCAGCAAUUCGACUAAGAAGGACUGAUUCAUGCAGUUUCCUCUGAACAGUUGAUGUUGAGAUGUGUUUGUUACUUGAACUCUGUGAAGCAUUUAUUUGGGCUGCAAUUUCUGAGGCUGGUAACUCUAAUGAACUUGUCCUCUACAGCAGAGGUAACUUUCCUGUGGCGGUCCUCAUGAAAGCCAGUUUCAUCAUAUCGCUUGAUUGUUUUUAAAAUUAAAUGAAAUCAAACUUUAUUUGUCACAUGCGCUGAAUACAACAAGUGUAGACUUUACCAUGAAAUGCUUACUUACAAGCCUUUAACCAACAGUGCAGUACAAGAAGAGUUAAGAAAUAUAUUUACCAAAUAGACUAAAAUAAAAAGUAAUUAUAAAAAGUAACACAGUAACGAGGCUAUAUACAGGGGGCACCGGUACCGAGUCAGUGUGCGGAGGUACAGGUUAGUUGAGGUAAUUUGUACAUGUAGGUGGGGGUGAAGUGACUAUGCCUAGAUAAUAAACAGCGA